UAUCAACUCACACACCCAAAGUACAAUAACAUCUCCAAUAACCCAAAGACCUCCCGUGAGGCUGCACCUCUGACGAGUAGAUUGUACAGCAUUAGAUGACAGCACACAGCAGCGAGCACACAGAAAUCCCUGCCAUCAUGGAGUGUCUAUUCCAACAGUGAGGACACCCACAAUGGCUUGUCUUGCUAGUUGAAAACCGUGACACAGAGAUCAACUCCAGAGGUGGCCGUGGACGGGGCUGUCUGGAAGUCAUACAAAGCUGUACUGAUGGGUAACUGUCAACAUGAUCUCAAUGCAGGACACUGCCUUUCUAAACAAGUGGCAUCACAUUAUCGGAGCAAGGAAAGUGCUCUUGUGGUUGUGAGAGGAGAAGCAACGACAGUGAUGUUGUUCAAUAGUUCAGCAAGUGUGGCCAACUGGUCACUGUGAAAUUGAGUUCUUAGAAGAAAAGACAGGAACUUUCUCUAAAAGAAAUGAUAAUGUUUCCAAAUUUGAUGACAAGAGCUAGUCAGCUAUGGAAAAGUGUCCACUUAUAAAAACAACAUACACAUCUAUGCAUCAGAAAAUUCAAAAUGGUGGAGAAUCCAAAGACUAUGGAGUAUGAAAGCCCUUUAGUCUUGGUGGCAGCUGUGGAAUGCAUGAGAGAGUUCAGGCUGGAGAGAGGACCUAUGAACAUUACUAAGGUAUGAAGAUCUUCAAUGAACAUCAACAAUUUGCCCCACACAGCUGAGGAACACUGAAUGUGACCAAUGUGGGAAUUUCUCUAGAUUUAAUUCAAGUCUGGAAGUAUGUCAUAGAAUUAAAACUGGUAAGAAAUGUUUUAAAUAAAAAACAUG